GAUGAAGAACGCAGCGAAAUGCGAUAAGUAGUGUGAAUUGCAGAAUUCAGUGAAUCAUCGAAUCUUUGAACGCACAUUGCGCCCGCUAGUAUUCUGGCGGGCAUGCCUGUUCGAGCGUCAUUUCAACCAUCAAGCCCUUUAGCUUGUGUUGGGGACCUGCGGCUGCCGCAGCCCCCGAAAUGCAGUGGCGGGCUCGUUGUCACACCGAGUGCAGUAAUCAUUCUUCUCUCCGGGCGUGGCGGCGGGUUCCGGCCGUAAAAUCACCAAUUUAUCAAGGUUGACCUCGGAUCAGGUAGGAAUACCCGCUGAACUUAAGCAUAUCAAUAAGCGGAGGA
rnacentral:misc_RNA from 1 species